UACGGAGGAGGCAAGCGUUAUCCGGAAUUAUUGGGCGUAAAGCGUCCGCAGGUGGCACCUCAAGUCUGCUGUCAAAGACCGGGGCUUAACCCCAGAAAGGCAGUGGAAACUGAAGUGCUAGAGUGCAGUAGGGGUAGAGGGAAUUCCCGGUGUAGCGGUGAAAUGCGUAGAUAUUCGGAAGAACACCGGUGGCGAAGGCGACCUUCUGGGCCGUUUCUGACGCUGAGGUACGAAAGCGUGGGGAGCAAACAGA
rnacentral:rRNA from 1 species